UCGUCAUUGUUACGUACCGUAUUUUUAUACAUUGGGACAACCCGGAUUAACUAUGACAAUUAAGGGCCAAGACUAUUCCGGGAUUUGACGUCGGGACUUUUGACCAUUUGAUUUUAUUUUGAGACAUAAGUUGAAUAUGAAAUUGAUGGCAUUGGACACUUAGGAAAAAUUGGGACCACAAUUCAUAAAAUUGGAAUUUAAAAGUCUUGCACCAAAAGCCAUGGUGGCCGUGUGGACUUGAAAUGGUCCCACACAUUGUGUGGCCAAUUUUAAUUGGUCCAACACAUGUGUGGGCCAUAAACAAAGGGAGAUAUUUGUGGAUACAAAAAAAAAAAAAAAAAGACUAAGUCAUCUUUCUCAUUUCCCACUUCUACACUUAGAGAAAAAUAACAAGACUUGGAGAGCCUCCACUCCCCCAUGGUUCUCGGCCACAACCAAGAAAAAUCAAGUCCCAUUUUUGCCUCUCUAAAAUUAUUUCUUUGGUAUAAACCCACUAUUUGGAGGUCCCUAAGUAGCGUGGAAGUAUUGUUUGGGUCAUUCAACCACUCAUUUUUCCCAUUUACAAACCCUAGCCUAUUGGUGGAUUGAAGAAUAAAGGUGAGUUCUAAUCUUGUUUUUGGAGUUAUAAAUGUUGUAUGCAUAUUGUAGUAUGCUAAAAUGGAUAAAAAUCAUGAAAUAUGGAAUGUUGAAGUUGGGUCUUGUGUUGGGUGUGUUGACCGUGUGAAGUAUAUGUGUGUGGUGUGGUAUUGGGUUGACGAAUUAAUUGCUUGUAGCAUAUUGAUUGUCGUAGAGUGGAGAAGAGAAUAAAAAUCAUCGAUACAUGUAUAUGUGUAGUGUAGCCGUGUAUAUAGCCUCCAAAUGGUAGCAAAGAAUGAAUUAAUAUCGCUUAGCGUCGUAAUGGUUGUUGUGAUGAUUUGUAUGUUGGAAAUGAGAGUUAAAUGUCCCGAAUUGAUAUAGUAAGCGUUGCGGACUGAUUUGGAGAACUUUGUGCAUUUAAUGCAAUCCUUAUAUAUGAGAACCAUUAACAUAUGAAUAUGUGUAGUGUGAAUGAAUGUGAGUCAUAGAUUAUGCCGAAUAUCGCAUUAUUAUCGCUUAAGCGCUUUCGUGUCGUCGUUACGAAUUUUAGUUUGGAAUUGAGCAUUUAAUGACUUAAGAUUGAUGUUGAGAUUGUACGGGCUGAUUUGAGGGUUAUUGUGCGUUGAUGUAAUUUGUAUAUUUUAUGAAAAUGGUAUCGUUAUAUUGUGAAUUGUGAUACAAAACAUGAAUUGAAAGUCGGAAGUGUGCCCAGUGGGCUGCUCACGGGUAGGGGCUGUUUUCGGCCAAAAAUUUGGAGAAAUUGUGGAUUGUUGGAAAAAUUAUGUGAAUUUUUUAGAAUGUUCUUGAAUGUUGUUAGUAUGGGUUUGGGUUAAUAAUCGAAUGUACGAACGAUAUUGUGGCUUGAAAGUAAGCCAUUGAAUUGAAUAAUUGGAAAGUUGUCGAAUGGUGUAAAAGAGAGCUACUAUUAUUAUUUUGCCUUUCGAAUUGAUUAUCGAUGUUGCUAGGUUGGUUAUUGUGGUUGUUGUUGUUGAUUUUGAGCGAGUUAAAUUCUCGGGAUGGCCUAUUUAUAGGGGAAAUGCUGCCGAAUUUUCUGUAGAAUUUAAUGUUAGUUGGAAUAAAUGGCUUAAGUGCCUAUGUUUAAUAUUGGAUAUUCGUUGGCAUAUUUGUAGACCUUGGGGAGCCCGAGGCGUAGAUUGGAAUUUACUUUAUAUUGGCCAUCUUGGAGUGCGCACGAGGUAUGUAAAGCAACCUCCCUUCUUUUUGGCAUGUCUUAGUUUUACAUAGGCUAGAUUAGAGCCUUAAGGAAAUUCCAAAUCCGAAAUCCGAGCAUGAUAUGAUCUAUAUAUGUUCCUUGGCACUCUUAUGUAUGAUUUGAUGAAAUAUGAACCUUUAUGUAUUUGAAAUAAUCGCUUUCCAAACUUUGCGCAAAAAGGUUUCACUUUAAAGAACUUCGAAAUUUCUGAAUGCCAUACAUUUCACAUAAAUGCUCGGAUUACUCCAAUAUUUUUAUAAAAGUUUGCAUUAUGUAUGAUACGUAUGUUUUUCAUAGGCGGGCCCGACUUGGGUAAAUACCCGUCCGUGGGUCCCGCGACUUUCCUUUAUGUAAUUCAGAGAAUCUUUGAAAGAAUUUGGUAUGAUUAUUAUUCCGAUUUCAAAUAUGAUCAUUUUACUUAUGUUUGAAUUUAUGAUAAUGAUUUUAUGCAUAUGACUACUCACGACUCUACUCGUGCAUUCUGUUAUUCCUUUCGCCGAGUCCCGGGCCGGUUCUGUUGUCGUGCGCAUUUUGAUAUACUCCGGAGUUAUGCUGUGUUUAUGGUUCACCGAGCUACUCGCAAAAGAGGGUCGGGUUCCACCUAUAUUUGGUGUUAUGCUGUGUAUGGCGUUAUGUUGUGAUGUGAUAUGUGACGGUGAUACGGAGAUUUGAAACUUUCUGGUGUUAUGCUGUGUUAUGGCGCCAUCGACGGGUGGGCGACCAUAUUCUUCUGUACCCUAUGCAUUACUUACAUAUUUUUGAAAGUACAGACGCACAGUUUGGUGAUCUACCCAUUUAGGACACCCUAUUCUGCUGUUUGGAGUGCUCUUCUCAUUUCAGAGCACACAUUUUGGUAUAUAUUCGUUCGCCAUGUAUAUAUGUAUUUGUUCAGGGGCACGGCGGGGCCCUGUCCCGCCAUAUGAUUCGGUUUGUCUGUUUAGAGGUCUGUAGACGUAUUUGUGGGUGUGUGUGCCUACUUCUGUACGGAUGUGUUUGCAUGACUCUAUUCGUUAUGGCAGCCUCGUCGGCGUGCAUUUUGUAUAUGUUUGUGGCAGCCUUGUCGGCGUGCAUUUGUAUAUGCGUUUUGGGCCGUUGUGCCAUUUGACAGCCUUGUCGGCUUUUGACAUAUUUGAUAGCCUUGCCGGCUUUUUGAUAUAUGUGCAUAUGUUCGGCGAUGUAUAUUCCGCCGCCUCUUCUGAUUCUGAUAUAAUGUUUUGUACGCGCAAUCGCGCAAGAUAA